rnacentral:rRNA from 1 species
UACAGAGGGGGCGAGCGUUGUUCGGAAUUACUGGGCGUAAAGGGCGCGUAGGCGGCCUCUUAAGUCGAACGUGAAAUCCCCGGGCUCAACCCGGGAACUGCGUCCGAUACUGGGAGGCUUGAAUCCGGGAGAGGGAUGUGGAAUUCCUGGUGUAGCGGUGGAAUGCGCAGAUAUCAGGAGGAACACCAAUAGCGAAGGCAGCUCGCUGGGACGGUACUGACGCUAAGGCGCGAAAGCGUGGGGAGCGAACAGG